AGGUGCGAUCAUACCAGCACUAAAACACCGAAUUCC
rnacentral:rRNA from 1 species